CAAAAUAAAGAGCCUUGAGUACUUACUGAAAAAAGAGCACAUAGACCUAACAAAAUUAAGUGGAUACCUAAAUUGUACUCGUUUUAUUUCUAUUUUUUCA
rnacentral:antisense_RNA from 1 species